rnacentral:rRNA from 1 species
CCAGACUCCUACGGGAGGCAGCAGUGGGGAAUAUUGCACAAUGGGGGAAACCCUGAUGCAGCAACGCCGCGUGAGUGAUGACGGCCUUCGGGUUGUAAAGCUCUGUCUUCAGGGACGAUAAUGACGGUACCUGUCGAAUAAGCCACGGCUAACUACGUGCCAGCAGCCGCGGUAAUACGUAGGUGGCAAGCGUUGUCCGGAUUUACUGGGUGUAGAGGGCGUGUAGCCGGGCUGACAAGUCAGAUGUGAAAUCCGGGGGCUCAACCCCCGAACUGCAUUUGAAACUGUUGGUCUUGAGUAUCGGAGAGGCAGGCGGAAUUCCUAGUGUAGCGGUGAAAUGCGUAGAUAUUAGGAAGAACACCAGUGGCGAAGGCGGCUUUCUGGACUGAAACUGUCGCUGAGGCACGAAGGCGUGGGGAGCGAACAGGAUUAGAUACCCUAGUACA